rnacentral:rRNA from 1 species
UACGUAGGGUGCAAGCGUUGUCCGGAAUUAUUGGGCGUAAAGAGCUCGUAGGCGGUCUGUCGCGUCGGCUGUGAAAACCCGCGGCUCAACCUCGGGCCUGCAGUCGAUACGGGCAGACUAGAGUGCGGUAGGGGAGACUGGAAUUCCUGGUGUAGCGGUGAAAUGCGCAGAUAUCAGGAGGAACACCGGUGGCGAAGGCGGUUCUCUGGGCCUUACCUGACGCUGAGGAGCGAAAGCGUGGGGAGCGAACAGG